GCAAUUAUUAACAUGAAAUCAAACCCACAUGGGACCCUUGAAUUUACAGUCCUUAAUUCAAUCAACAAUCAGGCAUAUAAGCUAAUGAUAAUCAAAUGCAAAACAGUAACUCGGGAAAAUAAAAGAAAAACGAAACCGGAAAAUGCUCAACAACCCAAAUUCUCUAGCUAGCUACAAUGUCUGUCACCUCUUGAUGAUAACUAACCUGAAGAUGAUGGGAAACUGAACUAAUACAGCCUUGAGAAUCAGUCAUUUUCUUAGAAGGGAGGUCGCCCACUGGCCCAGUAUGCCUCCGUUGGUAACUGAAUAGAAUUGAGGAGAUUAGGCUGCAAUCCAUGAAAGAGCUGCACGUUUGCCUCUCCCAAAACCUGCUGCUGCUGUUGCUGCUGAACAACCGCUCCUGGCGACCCAAUUGCACCCCCUUGCAUAGGUAGCUGUGGAUCCUCCUCUUCUAAAGGAAGCCUCUCAUAAGCAGCGUUACUAAAUGAAGCAGCCAUAAUCACAACAGGACCUGCAGCAGUAAGUGUACCGACAACACUCCCACCCACCACUUGCCCUUGUCCUCCAGCUAAAUAUAUGGUCAAGCCCGUAGCAGCAGGCGGAGCAGGCGGUGGCAGGAAGGACCCAGAUAGUGAUAAUAUCUCGAAUCUACCAUGUAAGGUCACAACUGCACCUGGCGAAGCUGGUUGUCUCAGAGUUACAUUGGUUACUGUUCCAGUUCCACUCAUAAUGGAAAUCCCUCUUUGCCUCCUCCUAGCAAAUGUGGCUACACUUUCAACAAUAUCACAACCAUCGGUAACCUCCAUCAGGUGAGUGCGCAGAGCGUUGGCGCUAUCGCGGGCGAUGAUGAUUGGGGGCUUAGCCUUGUUCUUGGAUCCGGCGGGUCUGCCUCUGGGUCUUCUAUUGAUCUCUCCUCCACCUGGGCCAGCAGGGAUCAGUUCUCUGCCUUCGCUGUUGUUAUUGCUAGUUUCAUCGCGUUCUCGUUUCUGGGACUUGUUAAGGCCGGCGCCGCUACUACUGCCGCUUUGUUCAUCUUCUGAGUUGUGCUGCUGAUGAUGGGGAAAUUGGUGCUGGUGUAACUGGAAAUCUCUGGUGUGGAAUGGAGGAGGAAGAGAAUGGCCAUGAGCCGUUAUUGGAUCCAUAUUCUUGCCUUUUUGUUUUCCUUUGACUUUAAUUACCUCUUUCUUUAAGUACCUAAAAACAGCCCUAUUCACUUAUACAAGACCUAAGCGGGUAGAGAGACGACCCAAGAACUAAUGGAAACACAAAAAGUAGCACUAAACGUUAACGUUUAUGGAGGUGAUUCUAAAGGAAACGGGUAUAGUGGGAGCAGAGAGAAAAAAAAGAAACAAAGAAGAAGAAGAAGAAGACUUGUUAAAUUUUCUUUGGGUAAUGAAGUUGGGGUAAUAGCUAGCGAGGCCUCAACAAGAAAGGAAACAUGGGUGGAUUUUUGGUGUCAGCCACCAAAUUGUGAGCAGAAUUCAGCAUAAGCAGUGGCGUUGUGUUGGUUAAGUAUUAGGAGAGA
rnacentral:misc_RNA from 1 species